CAGUAGCCGCGGGAAUACGAAGGGGGCUAGCGUUGUUCGGAUUUACUGGGCGUAAAGGGCGCGUAGGCGGACUGAUAAGUCAGGGGUGAAAUCCCAAGGCUCAACCUUGGAACUGCCUUUGAUACUGUUUGUCUUGAGUUCGAGAGAGGUAAGUGGAACUGCGAGUGUAGAGGUGAAAUUCGUAGAUAUUCGCAAGAACACCAGUGGCGAAGGCGGCUUACUGGCUCGAAACUGACGCUGAGGCGCGAAAGCGUGGGGAGCGAACAGGAUUAGAUACCCCUGUAGUCCCUGUCUCUUAUAC
rnacentral:rRNA from 1 species